AAUACCGUUGCUGUUCGUUAGUCUUGCAUCGACUGUUGAUCACCACAAUCGUCUGUGUAUCGUUUUUGGAAUUCUUUCCCCCCGAUUCUCGCGUGUGUACAUUUAGACCGCGCGCAAUUUCUAUUUAUUGUUCUGUGUGAAAUUUCGAUUUUCGUUUUUCUCCGUUCUUGUUUCAUUUAACCAUUCAAAUUUCGGUUCCUUCAAUUUUUGUAUAAAAGAACAGCAAAAUAACUAAUCGGAAGUGGACCUUCAAACGGAACAUAGAUGAAAUAGAAGAAGAAUUUUAAAAUUAGUGAGAGGAACAAAAAAAAAUAGAGACACGAAGUGGAAAUCGAUUUUUUUUUCUUUCUGACUUUAUUUUGUGUCAUUCGUUUAUCGAUGCUCCUUCGUUGCCACUUGACAGUGAAUAGUGAAUAGAACUGCAAUUUGGAAAAUUAUCACUUUUCUUCGCUUUCCGGAGUUGGUUGAAAUAGAGAACAUUUUAUUUCAAGUGAUUUGAUUUUGAGCAAAUACCGAUGAGUUUACUUGUGUUUGAAGUACUUUGGUUUCAGUGCUCUAUGAUUCAAUAAGAGAGAGAUAAAGGAAAAAAUAUACACCGAAUUCAGUUAACGUCAAUAAAGAUUAAUUUGAGAAAUAAAUAAAAUUUCUAGAGCGAAGAGAGAGAGAAAAAAGAGAAGAAUUUGCUGAUCACUUGAACACAUUAAACUGAAACUAGUGACUCAACUCAGUGACGUUCAAUAAAAAGUUUCCCGUUCCUCUUAGAAGUGCAUAUACAUACAUAACAAGUGGUUAUUUUGUGUCGCUGUCAUUUAUAUUUUGGUGUGUUUUUAUGGGACCCAACAACACAAUAAAUCGUUUCGACUGAAGUGAUUGCCAGAUUACAUUUGAAAGAAGAUUCAAUUGUAUAAAAUAGCGAGCGAAUGAAUAGCGGGCCGCCCCGAAACGGAAAGAUUCAAUAAAAACUAAUCGUAAACGGUUAAAUCUCAUUCAACAUUGUUUGCUGCAUUUGAAAAUAGCUCGUUGACAUUCGUCAUUCAUCACAAAUAUUAUUCGUUCUCAUUCACUUUUGGAUUGGAUUAUCACAAACACACACACACUAACCAAAUAAAACUUGAAAGUAUGAACAAAAAACAGAUCAAAGUGAAACAACAGAACUGAUUCACUGUUGUGUGUAUGUGGCAUGAAACGUGUUGAACGAGCGACAAGAAUAGCAAAUAGAAAGACGUUCUAACAACGCAGCUAACGAAUUCGGCAAAUAUGCCCAGUGUGACUAAUACGCCUAAUAAUCAGAAAUUUUGCCAACUGAUUUGCCCCCUUCGGCAACAUUGAAUGUGAACUUGGUGCUGCGACACCAAAUGGAAGUCGUCACCUUUGCGACGCGAGAGCAGUGAAAAAAGACGAAGACGAAGCAGAAGACGACGGAAGAGGAAAGAAAUAAACCGAAAAUUGGUCGCAAUAUUUAGAGAAAGUUUUCGUUUGUACGCGCUGGAUAAUGUCUGUGCCAAAUACACGAAAAUAACUGUAACAAUUAUUAGAGCCUAUUUGUUCACGCUUAUUUCGACGGAGAUUGUGUCGAUUUGUUGUUGCCCUCUCUUCGUCCAACAUCAACAUAUAUGUUGAAUUGAGGCGCGCCCCGGAACGUGUGCAUGUAUGUGCGGUAAUUGCUGUGAACAUAGUUCAUCGUUACACCAGUUGCUCGAUAGCUUUGAACCCAAGCGCUCGCUGAUUUGUUAGUCUACGCCAUCAAAGUGACACAUUUUCCAGCCGAGAAACAAAUCACAUCAACUUCAGAACAAACUACGUGCUGAAGAACAAACACGAAAUAGACAUAAUAAAUAUGUAAAAAAAAAGAAAAAGUUUUCUUUUUCGUAACAACACGGAACAAGUACAGUGACUAAUUGAGCAACCAGAUUGAGGAAAAAAGAACAAAAAAAACUCAAUUUAUCGUUGUUGUUGUUGUUUUUUCGGUGUGAAAAAGCCAAAUUCACAGAAGAUUGUGCAUUUGAAUAGCGCCAAAGAAGUGAAUUUUUUUUCACAAAGCGAGAAAAAGUGCACGAGUCCAAAACAAGAAGGAGCAACAGACAGAAAAAACCACUCACGACCAGCAAAAACCGAAUCAAAUUGUAUUGUUCACAGCGAAUGGUGUCAUAAUUCCUGGCAACAGCGUAUCAGUUUCGCUUCGGAGAACCUUCUCCCGGCCAUUUCGCGCGUGCACACAUAUCCAAACACACACACACACACACACACACAAGUCAUUGUUCGUUCGACGACAUUCAUACAAUAGGCUCAUAUUUAUUGUGUGUGUUCGACAACGACAAUCGGAACAAUUUUGCAUACGAAAUCGAAUUAAAUGGCAAGCACUUAAAAUCAUCGUUGUCGCCGCGUUAUUCAUCUGUUCAUGUUGUUGUUUUUCAUGUCGGUAUUUUUUUUUCGGGAGCAUCUGGAAUCAAGACAUUUAUCAAGAGUGUAAAAUGAUAAAUCUCGCCCAUUUUGCCGCAAAACAAUGAGAGCUCUUGUUGUUCGCCACUAAUCGUGUUAUUUCGCUUGGCAUAUUUCGCCUGAUUUGAAACACACCGUCAAAAUCUUCGUUUUUUUCCCGUUGUUCGGUUAUUAUCGUCGACGCAACGAACGAACACAAAAUUCGUUCAAAAUAUUUCAACGAACUACAAAUAUUGACUGACUAUAUUCAUAUCCAACUUGAUUGUUUUUUUUUCGUUUGGUGUGCCCCAAAAUCGGACAACAUUUUCAUUGAAUGCUAUAAAUUUUUUGUGACUUAUUGCUUACUACUUUGGUUUGCGCUGUGAUAAUCAUUUCUAAGAGAGAAAACCACAAAUCAAAUAAAUUUAUUUACAAUAACAACAAAAUUCGACAGAGAAAGCGACUAAAAAAAGAGUUUGUUUAAUGAUAAUAGAGGGAUAAAAAGAAGGUCUAUUCUAAAGAUAACAACACAUCAAAUAUAUUUUUUAUGAGAAAGAAUAAAUUCUAUAUUUUGUUGAUACAUUUGAUAACAUUUAUUUGCGAAAUCGAAUUGUGCAUGUGAUUUCGUGAUAUACACCUAUAUAGUUUAAAUAAUAUUGAUCGGUUUCGCGGUUCAAAACAAAAAUAAAAAUAUUGUGCGCAGUUUGCAACGGAAAGAUAAGAAGAAGAAGAAGAAAAAGAGUUUUCGUCAAUUAUUUCGUGGUUAAUAGAAUAAAUUGUACGACAAAAUUGAAGAAAUGGUGGUAUUAGACGCGACACAAAUUGGCGGUACCGCACUCUUGGGCAGCCCGUAUGCCCAGGGUGCACCCGCACUCAAAAUCAUUCAGAAACGCUUCUUGGGCGUCCAUCAAUGGCUUUCGCCCAUCGCAACAAAAGACCUCAAAGAACAAAUCGUAAGUUAUAAUAUGCCCUUAUCAUCUCAUUUCAUCAUCAUACAUGCUAUUUUUGUAUAUAUGUACAACCGCUUUUUGUUUUCAUAUUAUAUGCGUAGGAUUGUUUAGUCAUACAGCCAAUCGUUUGGAAAUCAACGAAAAAAAAAUAACAAAUAAUAAGCUCGACGAUGUAUGUUGUUGGCAGUUGCCAUUAUCAUUUCGCCGUUUAUAAGCGUAGGAUGCGGAAUGUCAUGCUUGAAACAAAUCGCCAAGCCAAUUCUUAUGACCAUUCCGAGAUAAUAGCCACUUUUAAAUUGCGUUUAGUCAUUUUUAUCACAAAGCCAUAUCCAUUGCUCACAAUUUUAUCAUUUUGAGUCAUGUGGUUUUUUUUCUUGUUUCUUUUGAAUUGCGUGAUGAAUGUGUUUGUUAUUCAAUGAAUUGGCAGCUGAAUAAACGGUUAGUCUCAUCGGCCAUACAGUAAUUAUAAGACCAUAAACAUAGGAUUUUGUGGAUGCGCUUAGGAGCCUUGGAUCUCGAAGUGAACACUGAUUGUGCAGAUGUGCACAGCCUGCAUUAUUAUGAACGAAUGGGGUCACACAGAAAAUCUAUUGUUUAUACAUAGCCUUUUGUUUGGCUCUGUUGUGUGUGCGAUAUUCAUUGACAAAUAUGAAGCAUGCUUUUCAUUCGAUGAAAAAAAUAUUCUAAAACAUAGUCAAGAGAGAAUAAUGCGCAGUGCCCAUUUCCCGCCUCUCUCUCUCUCUCUCUCUUAUCGUUCUGGCAUGGAAUUCAAACAAUAUCUCUGAUAAAAACCAUAUUCAUGUGUGUGCACUGCACAGUGCACAUGCUCUUUUUCAUAUUGUCACACAAAUGUUAUUUCGAUCGUGCCAACGGAAUAAAUACCAUAUUCGAAUACUUUAUGAAACGAGUAAUUAAAACUAAUGGCUUCAAGAAUAUUAAUUCGAUGGCAAGAAUUCAUUUCAAGUAUGGAUUUUGAUGUAAUUUCAGUUUUUGAACGGUCAUACUCGACCGGUUAGUUUUCCAUUCUUCGCAUGUAUAUACUCAUUCAAGAGGAUGUUAAAUAAAAUUGCUCCUAUUUUAAUUGAAUUCUCGUGGAAAAAUCGUUCACUUCAGAUAACUUGAAAAAUUGUUCAUAGUUUCAUCUUCCGUUCGUUGUUCUUUCCCGUUCGUUCGUUUGUAUCAUUUAGCUCGGGUGUGUGUGCAUUCAAAAGAUCUGAAGUGUGUUCUUACCGACCGUUUUUAUGCCACUCAAUUUGAUCUGGUACUUGACUUUUGACCUAAUGGUCAGCGUUAAAAGCAUAAUUGCAAUUAAAUGUAUUCAAACAAUGCGUCAACAUUCAAAUCAAGUAUGGUCAUGGGCAAUGGUGCUGCUUCUGCAAUUGGUGUGUAGAAUUUGGUGCUGACUACAACUGAAUAUUAUCCAUGAAACGUUAAUUUACACUGAAAAUGAUCGAACUUGAUAGUCAAACGCCUCUUCCAUUCUACAACCUGAACCGAAACGGGUGGGGUCAAUUCGCAUUUCAAAAUGGUGCUGUUUAACAAAACGAUAUAGCACUCUAAACUACUGUUAUCACAUUUACCGUGAGCAUUCAAUAAAAUUUAAUUCGACCAUUUGGACUGCAAUCGAUUUGCAAGUAACCAUUUGUUCCGAAUUAAAUUGAAUCUUCAUUGCCAGUCAUUUUCGAAUACAGGAUAGAUUCAAUACUGCAGUGAAGUGUUUUUAGUUCUGUUUUGCGUUUCUUUUAUUUUCUGCUUUUCUGACAUUUUACUAACAACCAUUCUGCUUAUUGGGGUCCACACUUGAAAUUGCAAUAAAAUGGGAGUUAUUGUUUAAGCACACAACAGAUUUGCCUUGGAAUUUUAAGUGGAUGGCUCAAAAAGUUGAUUUACAGUUUGGCACAAAACUAUUUAAAGUGUUUGUGGUGCUAUUAAAUUUUACACCAUUCCCGUCUGGGAAUAUUUUUUUCUUUUUCGUUGCAAAAAUGGGUCAGACCAUUGCAUGUGUAUCGAAUUCAGUUAACAUUUGGCAUAUUUAUUGCAAUCAACCAUCUUUUUCUCGCCUCUUUUGUUCCCAUAUCAUUGCAAAUACGCCAUUUGAAUGAACCGAAAAUAAUAAAUGAAAUACCGCCCCAUUCGCUCGGAUACUAUUGUUGCAAACCAAUUUGGUUUAGUCAGAGAAUGCAAUUGGAUUUCUGUGUUAUCGCUCUAUUCGCCUCUAUCAUUACUCGCUGGAGUUUUAUUUGUCUCGUUCAGUGUCAGAAACGAAAUUAUUUUGAAUUAAUCCACAUCCGUGCGGUUCAUGAUUGCAAUGAAUAUUAAAUUCAGCGUUUCUUUUAUUAUUUCAACAUGCGUGGUGCGCAUGCGCGUUCGCUUGUUAUUUUAUUUCUGCCUCAGUUUUUUUCAUUCCACUUGUGAAAAUUUAAUGACACAAUUUUUCGUAUAAUCGUCGGACGGGUGAAAGCCACAGUUUGCUGGAAAACAAGUCGAGAUUAUUGUUGAUGAGGUUUUGUGGCCUGGCAUUUUCGUUUUUAUGCCAGUUUGUGAAUGUUAUCGUUCAUUUGCUGAGCAGCACUGUGAAUGGCUGCACAAGGAUAACAUGGAAGGCUGACAUUUUCCUAAAAUCGUCGGGCUUUUUUCCAUUUCUCUCUCUCCUUCUCCCUUUCCCUCUCUUGCUCUGCUGAGCUUCUGAAUCAUAAAAUACAAAUAGCAAUGCCAUUCAUUCUCUUAUGCUUGCACUUGAUAAUCACUUCCAUUUGACAUUUUACUGCUAUUUUUUCGCUUUGUUCGAGCUCUCCAAACGAAACGCAAAUCACUUGACCGCCUUUACUUGGAACAAUACAAAUUCUUUGAUACGCCCAUUAAGCGAGUGAUAAAGAAUUCAAUUCAAAAUUAAUUAGUCAUAUUUUUUUAUAGUGAUGGGUGUAUCAUUAAAGCCACUUAACAGCUUGAAAAUUUUCGUUUGAACCCUAAAAAUUAAUUUAAACAGAGAAAAAAAAAAACGUUGAAAAUUCGAGAAUGUGAAGUCCGAAAAAUUACCAAUAUUCGAAAGGACGGAGACAAAUAUCAUUUUUAAUGUAAUGCCCCUGCAUGUAUGGUAUUAUUUCGUUGAAUAUUUGCUGCAUCCAUUUUCGUCAGUGAGUGAUUUAUCGUGGCCCUGGUAACUUGAAAAACGUUUUCAACAUUUUUCACCAUUUUUUACUUCGGCCAUAGAGAACAGCAUUGAUAAAAGGAGAAAAAAUCUCUACUUUUUCACCACGUUAAUUAUGCGAAAAUGAGAACCCACUUUGAACCACGCAAAAGCGGCUUUUUCCAAGUGAAUGAGUUUUUCGUUUCAUUUACCUACUUGUUGGCCGUUUGAUAUAUUUUCCACGGAAUAAAUAUUUUUCAAAGGACAAUUUUCAUUAAAUAAUCAUGCCACGAUUUUUUUUUUAAUGACGUUCAAAUUGUUUGAAUUGAAUGUCGAAAGAACGCGAUCGAUGCGAUUGACAUUCGAGUGCGUUGCACCUCCUCCAUUGAAACUGGACUAUUGACAGUUUUUUUCCUCGCUGUUUGCUCAUCAUUCUGCAUUCGAUUUGCAAUUCUUGUUCCAAUUUUUAUUCGUAUUGUAUUCUCGCAAAUCAAAAAAGAAUUUAACCGAUAUUUCAUUUACAUUGAACGACUAAACGACAAACUUUCAUUGAACGUGAAACAAACAACAAGAGAGAGAGAGAGAGAGAGAGAGAGAGAGAGGCGGAAAAAAGACUCCACAAGAGUAUGAUUAAAAAAAAUACUCUCAUGCAAAGCUGUCGAAUGUUUAAAAACGCUCGACGAAAAAUAAACAUGACGCAGACAUGAAAAAUAUAAUCAUAAAUCCCUCUGGUGAAUGCAUUUUUGCGUACAUGUCAUUUGAGCCUGUAUUCGCUUGUUACAUUUUUUUGUCUGCAAUUCAAUGGACAUGGUUACGGGUGUGCGUGUGCGAGAAACAUUUUCACAACUAUGUGCUUUUUAUUCAAUGAGAGCCAGCGUGAAGAGCAGAAAAAGAGAUCUGGAUAAAUAACGAUGAUAAUAAACAAGUUAAGCGAAAACAAAGAAUUUGAAAGAUGUGAAAAAUAAAUAUCUGCCAAAACAUAUUACAUUGAAAAAUGCGGUUAAAUAAAUAUUGCAGGCGACGCCAAAAAAACAGAAUAGCGAGAGCGAAAUUAAAAACACCAAACUUUCUUUUAUGCAUUCAGAAUUUAAUUAAACGCAGAUUCUAUUCGGUGAUUUCAAUUCGUAAUCACAAUAAAAAUGACGAAUAGUGUGUAGCUUACUUUUAAUGAAUGAUGUGCAUCGUUUGGUGCGGAUUUGCUGUCUCUGUUUUUUUUGCUACGCAAAAUUCAGAACCUGCGAAUUUCACACAGGCUGCGAAUGUGACGACUGAAAAUGAUCCUAUUAUGACAAAAUAUUUCAUUAAAUGAGUGAAAUUCUUUCCAAAGCCGUACUCUAAUGUCAUUGUGCCUUUGCCCGAAUGAAUGCGGCUGUUGUUUUGUCUUUUGGUCAGUGAUUUAGCGUGUUGCGGUGCUCUGGGAGCUAAAGAAGGAGACACGACAAAUGGUAUGCAUAGCAUUUCGAGAGCACAACUGAGAAGAAUUACGCAAACCGGUGAAAUGGAAUUUGACUCUGCGGUAUUAUAACGAAGCCGCGCGAGAAAAAAAACGAAAGAACUGUAUAUGAAAAAUAGAAGCCGAAUACAAUUUCUAAGCCAUCAUAAAUAAUUACGAGCUUCCCUCGUUAGAUGCUUGUAUAGUAUACAAUGUAUACACUAAAGAAUGUAUAGUCAAUGCGAGCACAGCUUCAACUCGAGAGAAAGAAAGAAAUAAAUGAAAACAAUAAAAUGUGGCAACAGAAACACACACACACUCACUGACAACGGAACACAGAAAAAAAAGAAAAGAAAUGAUUUCGGUAGAUAAUGGCGUGUAGCUGGAUUUUUUCUCCUUUGUUUUAUUUUCAACUGGAUGAUCUUUUGUUUUGUCGCGAUUCAAUUCAUUGCCGGCAGAAGGAAAUUUAUCAAACCAAUGCGCUGGGGAUUUUGUUGUGCUUGAGCGUGUAACGAAAGCACUUCGAGCAUUCACAAUUCUUUUUAUUUCUCUCACUCUCUCCCUGUGUGUGUGUGUGUAUGUCUCUACUUCCCCAUUUUCAAUUUGUCGGCUCGAUUGCUAUUGUUGACAGUGGUUUUGGUUUCAGUGCUGCGACUGCCACACUCCUAUUACAUUUUUAACAACAACAGCACCGCUUUUCUCUCUCUCUCUCUCUUCGGCUGUUACUAUUUCAUUAUGAAAACGACAAAAUGCCAGAGGAUCUAUUUUGUUGAAUUUGCCAUGGGAGUUAACGAAAAUUGUCCAUCUUUGAAUUUAAAAGACAGAUACAAAAUGAAUUUUUCACCGGAGAAAACAUAUUGAAAGACAAGAACUUCACUUAAAAAAGUCCAUUUAUCGUUAAACGGAAACGAUAAAAAAAACGAACACAUUUUCAAAAUGAAGAUGUCCAAUGUUCUUUCCCCCCCCCCAUGUACUUGUAAACUGAACGAGCUUGCGUGUCCAUUGUAAUUAACAGAAUCUUUGCAAUGCAUGGAAUAUUCGACAUAUACGUUGCAUUUAAUUUGGCUUCAAUCCAUGCCAAAGGUCAAAUGCAUUUCAAUUCGGUUGAAUGAAAGUUAUCUCGGAUGUGUUUCGUUCCGAUGGAAGAAAGAGAGAGAGAAAGAGAGAAAAAAAGUUUUUUUCAACAAGAAUCGUGUUCUUAUUUUAUUGAAGCAAUUUUUUCUACAUGUGGUAGACACACUUGCACCCAUACAUUCGACUGUUUAACACCUUCGGCACGGCGGCAGCACCAUUUUCUUAAGCUGCGAAAUCGAGAUAGACCCAUUCAAAGUUGUGAUAAGUUCGUGAAUGGAUGCGAACAAGCCGUAAAAUACAAUGUCACCGAAUGGUUAACAGAGCAAAAAAAAAGAGAAAA